rnacentral:rRNA from 1 species
CGUAGAACUGCAUCUAGAACUGUCAGUCUAGAGUCUGGGAGGGGAAGAUGGAAUUAGUAGUGUAGGGGUAAAAUCCGUAGAGAUUACUAGGAAUACCAAAAGCGAAGGCGAUCUUCUGGAACAGUACUGACGCUGAGGCGCGAAAGCGUGGGGAGCAAACAGGAUUAGAUACCCUGGUAGUCCACGCCCUAAACGAUGAAUGUUAGUCGUUGGUGUCCUAGUGACAUCAGUGAUGCAGCUAACGCAUUAAACAUUCCGCCUGGGGAGUACGGUCGCAAGAUUAAAACUCAAAGGAAUAGACGGGGACCCGCACAAGUGGUGGAGCAUGUGGUUUAAUUCGAAGAUACGCGAAGAACCUUACCUGGCCUUGACAUAUAGAGGAACCUGCCAGAGAUGGCGGGGUGCCCUUUUGGGAGCCUCUAUACAGGUGCUGCACGGCUGUCGUCAGCUCGUGUCGUGAGAUGUUGGGUUAAGUCCCGCAACGAGCGCAACCCUCGUGCUUAGUUACUAACGGUUCGGCCGAGGACUCUAAGCAGACUGCCUUCGCAAGGAGGAGGAAGGUGAGGACGACGUCAAGUCAUCAUGGCCCUUACGGCCAGGGCAACACACGUGCUACAAUGGGGUGUACAAUGAGACGCGAUACCGCGAGGUGGAGCAAAUCUAUAAAGCAUCUCUCAGUUCGGAUUGUAGUCUGCAACUCGACUACAUGAAGCUGGAAUCACUAGUAAUCGUAGAUCAGCUAUGCUACGGUGAAUACGUUCCCGGGUC